AUUGAACGCUGGCGGCAGGCCUAACACAUGCAAGUCGAACGAGUGGCGGACGGGUGAGUAAUGUCUGGGAAACUGCCCGAUGGAGGGGGAUAACUACUGGAAACGGUAGCUAAUACCGCAUACCAUCGGAUGUGCCCAGAUGGGAUUAGCUAGUAGGUGGGGUAACGGCUCACCUAGGCGACGAUCCCUAGCUGGUCUGAGAGGAUGACCAGCCACACUGGAAGUGAGAGACGGUCUAGACUCUUACGGAGGGCAGAAGGGGGGAAGAUUGCACAAUGGGCGCAAGCCUGAUGCAGCCAGGCCGCGUGUAUGAAGAAGGCCUUCGGGUUGUAAAGUAGUUUCAGCGAUGAGGCGUUACUCGCAGAAGAAGCACCGGUUAACCCCGUGCCAGCAGCCGCGGUAAUC
rnacentral:rRNA from 1 species